UGGGGAAUUUUGGACAAUGGGCGCAAGCCUGAUCCAGCAAUGCCGCGUGCAGGAUGAAGGCCUUCGGGUUGUAAACUGCUUUUGUACGGAACGAAAAAGCUCUCUCUAAUACAGGGGGUGAAUGACGGUACCGUAAGAAUAAGCACCGGCUAACUACGUGCCAGCAGCCGCGGUAAUACGUAGGGUGCAAGCGUUAAUCGGAAUCACUGGGCGUAAAGGGUGCGUAGGCGGGUUUCUAAGUCAGAGGUGAAAGCCUGGAGCUCAACUCCAGAACUGCCUUUGAUACUGGAAGUCUUGAGUUCGGGAGAGGUGAGUGGAACUGCGAGUGUAGAGGUGAAAUUCGUAGAUAUUCGCAAGAACACCAGUGGCGAAGGCGGCUCACUGGCCCGAUACUGACGCUGAGGCACGAAAGCGUGGGGAGCAAACA
rnacentral:rRNA from 1 species